AUUGAACGCUGGCGGCAGGCCUAACACAUGCAAGUCGAACGAGUGGCGGACGGGCGAGUAAGGUCUGGGCAACUGCCCGAUGGAGCGGGAUAACGACGGGAAACGGUAGCUACAAGCGCUUACCAUCGGAUGUGGCCAGAUGGGAUUAGCUAGUAGGUGGGGUAACGGCUCACCAAGGCGAAGAACCAUAGCUGGUCUGAGAGGAUGACCGGCCACACUGGAACUGAGACACGGUCCAGACUCCUACGGGAGGCAGCAGUGGGGAAUAUUCGACAAUGGGCGCAAGCCUGAUGAAGCCAUGCCGCGUGUAUGAAGAAGGUCUUCGGGUUGUAAAGUACUUUCAGCGAGGAGGCGUUACUUACAGAAAAAGCAUCGGCUAACUCCGUGCCAGCAGCCGCGGUAAUUC
rnacentral:rRNA from 1 species